GUGUCAGCCGCCGCGGUAAUACAGAGGGUGCUAGCGUUGUUCGGAAUUAUUGGGCGUAAAGCGCGUGUAGGCGGCUCUGCAAGUUGGGUGUGAAAGCCCUCGGCUUAACCGAGGAAGUGCGCCCAAAACUACGGAGCUUGAGUGCCGGAGAGGGUGGCGGAAUUCCCGGUGUAGAGGUGAAAUUCGUAGAUAUCGGGAGGAACACCAGUGGCGAAGGCGGCCACCUGGACGGUGACUGACGCUGAGACGCGAAAGCGUGGGGAGCAAACAGGAUUAGAUACCCUCGUAGUCC
rnacentral:rRNA from 1 species